rnacentral:lncRNA from 1 species
UAGAGAGGAACCGGUUAAACGACUGCGGGUCAGACCCCAAACUCUGUGUCCUAAGUGUAGGAAGGGAUAUCAUUGGGCCUCCUACUGCAGGUCGGGAAACGGGUCUGGGGGCCCCAUCAACAACAACGGGGUAUGACAGCUGCCGUGAGGACACCACCAAGUCUACAACAACAGUAUGUACAACAGGCACAAGCCAACGGGACUCCCGAUCCUCCAUUCAUGUGGUAACAGUCCCUACAGAUGCUGAGCAUGACGUCCAGGAGAUGAAGUGCCUCCAGUAUGGGUCCCCCAGAGGGCUACUAGAUUGUAUAUCCCAGCUACACAAGAUGCAUCUGGACCUGAAACCACCAAACAGACGCCCGUCCCGUAAGAAGCGACGACCCCGUAAGCGAAAAACCGGUUUACAACAGGGGUUCCUGCGUGUUCCUGAUGACCAUGCCGACUUUAGGGCCUCCAACCCAAGGAAAAGAUGAAGAAAAACAACAAUGGUGGGCCUACUGGAGCCGCCCACCAUGGCUUACACUGGUUACUUGGGAACAUCCCUCUGUUCCAGUGGUCGUGAUAGGACCAGAAACUUUAAGUGAAAUAUUCGGGAUGAUGCUGAUUAAUCAGUCCCAUCCUCAUCCUGUACAAUUCAAUUUUUCAGGAGUAGCUACCAGCCCACCAAUUUGUUUUUCAACCAAUGAGUCAACACCUGAUCCCUGCAUCAAGCUUGCGAAUGAGAAAAAGACAGUGCGGGUGAAUGGACAAACUGAGAGUUGCAUUACCUUACCCUUCAACAAAAGAAAGGGGGAGAUGUAGAGGACCACAGGUGAGUAGGACUCUGACCCUGAUGGCCGAAUAGGCCCUCUCAGAUGAGGAGCUUGCUCUUUGGGCUGGAUCGGUUCUCCACUCCCAGAAGAAAGACUGUUGUGCAAGCUCAACCAUUAACAAUGUUGCUAGCUCAAGCUCAAACAUGUAUAUUAUACAUAUCAAGUAAUGAGACAUUCUGGGAACAAGAAGUACUUGGUGGUCUAACGGGAACAGCACGGGGUGGAUUAAGGAAGUGACCUUGUGAAUGAUUGCUAUAAAACUGCCUGCUGGGCUCUAAUAAAGUUUCCAUCACGCUUGGAGUCCCGUCUCUU